GCCAUCAGAGUUCACUCACUUCCCAGUUCACUCUUGUUUCAGACUUCUCUCUAUAAAAAAACCCGUCAUUAGAACCCUUGCUCCGCCGCACCGAAAAUCGCCUCUGGCGGCGGUGGAGGUCCAAACCAUUCCCACUUUAUCUCAAUCAGACCGUCUACGAUCCCCCUAUCUCAAUCUCAUAUUAAUUUCUUCCAAUUCUUGAGCCAGAAAAGCAUGAACCCUAAAAACUAAAUCUGCAAUUAAAUGAUGAUUGUGAGGUAGAUGGAGUUCAAACCAUAGGGUUUUGUCUCCAUAGAAGCUAAGCUACAUCGUGGUAAGUGAGAAUUUACGCAAGAAGAGGAGAGAUCAUAACCUACAUUUGGGAUUGUGGCUCGUCCUAGGCGUUGCUGCAGCGAGGAAGAUGAAGACCAAGCGAGAAGUCCAGAGAAGCUUCAAUGAGGGCUGGUGUGCUUAUCGGAUUUGGUAUGGCCCAUGGAGGUUUGACAUGAAUUAUCAAGGUUAGCAAGGGAUGGAGGCAUAACACCAAGACAUGAAGAAGUUUGAGGUCAUUAAGGCACAAUGAUAGAAAAUCUAUGAAGACUAAAGUAGACUUAGGAAUCAAUUUGACUUUGGUCAAUUGUUUGAUCAAAAAGUCAACAGUUGACCAAAAGUGAACUAUAGGCUAAAUGUGUAAAAUUUGUAGAUUUGGAUUUUGUAAUGGAAUUUGAAUGCUUGUAAAAUUUGUAGAUUUGAGAUUUGGGUGUUUUGGAAUGUAAUGAAACUUGUGUUUUUAAGAAAAAUGACUUUUCCCCCUAAAUUUAUGAAUUUGAAAUGAUCUUGAAUGCUUUGAAUAACAAUAAACCCUUGAAUGAAUUGAAUCCAUAGAACAAGAAGUGUAACACCCCAAUAAAAUAAAAUAAUUAUUAAAAAUUGAAUUAAUAGUACAUUAUUAAUUUAAUUAAAUAAUUAGAUUAUUAUUAUUGGAUUAUUUUAAUUAUUUUGGAAUAAUAAUUAUUAUUGGAAAUAUAUAUAAGUGUGAAAUGAGGAAAGAGAAUCCCAUUUGGUAAAGAAGUGUUUUCACGUGAAAACAGAGGAACUGCAGAGAAGAGGAAAAGGGCAGAGGCAGAGCAAGAGGAAGAAAGUUGGAGAAGAACGGAAAGGCUUGCAGCUCAAAGAUUCGCCGGAUUGUUAAGGUAGCGAGAAAUGAG